UAGUGGCGAGCGAAAUGGGAUGAGCCUGUACGUGAUAGUCGAUCGGAUAGUGGAAGCUUCUGGAAAUAAGCGCCAUAGCGGGUGAUAGCCCCGUACACGAAAUCCGAACGGUGGUACUAAGCGUACGACAAGUAGGGCGGGACACGAGAAAUCCUGUCUGAAUAUGGGGGGACCAUCCUCCAAGGCUAAAUACUCCUGAAAGACCGAUAGUGAACAAGUACUGUGAAGGAAAGGUGAAAAGCACUUCGAAUAGAAGGGUGAAAUAGAACCUGAAACCGUACGCCUACAAGCGGUCGGAGCAGAUUAAUUCUGUGACGGCGUGCCUUUUGCAUAAUGAGCCUACGAGUUAAUUUUACUAGCGAGGUUAAGGACUUCAGGUCCGGAGCCGGAGCGAAAGCGAGUCUGAAUAGGGCGUAUAGUUAGUAGGAUUAGACGCGAAACCUUGUGAUCUACCCAUGGGCAGGUUGAAGCUUUGGUAACACAAAGUGGAGGACCGAACCGGUUGACGUUGAAAAGUCUUCGGAUGACCUGUGGGUAGGGGUGAAAGGCCAAUCAAACUGGGAGAUAGCUCGUACUCUCCGAAAUGCAUUUAGGUGCAGCGUCGUAUAUAAGUUUAUUAGAGGUAGAGCUACUGAUUGGAUGCGGGGGUUUCACCGCCUACCAAUUCCUGACAAACUCCGAAUGCUAAUAAAUGUUCUACGGCAGUGAGGGCAUGGGUGCUAAGGUCCAUGUCCGAGAGGGAAAGAACCCAGACCAACAGCUAAGGUCCCCAAAUAUAUGUUAAGUUGAAGCAACGCGGUUGGACUGCAUUGACAGCUAGGAUGUUGGCUUGGAAGCAGCCAUUCAUUUAAAGAGUGCGUAACAGCUCACUAGUCGAGCGGUCCGGCAUGGAUAAUAAUCGGGCAUAAACAUAUUACCGAAGCUAUGGAUUUAUAAUUUUAUUAUAUCUGGUAGGAGAGCAUUCUGUUUGCGCCGAAGCAGUAUCGUGAGGUAUUGUGGAGCGGACAGAAAAGAAAAUGUAGGCAUAAGUAACGAUAAAGGGGGCGAGAAACCCCCUCACCGAAAGACUAAGGUUUCCUCAGCCAUGCUAAUCAGCUGAGGGUUAGUCGGGACCUAACGCGAACCCGAAAGGGGUAGUGGAUGGACAAUGGGUUAAUAUUCCCAUACUUGCUCACACUAAAAAGGGGACGGUUCGAUGUAGCUACUAAAGACGGACGGAAGUGUCAAGGCCUAGCCUUCGGGCGAAGCUGCUGUAGUGUAAUCGGAUCCAAGAAAAGCCGAAGUGAAGCAACCCGUACCAAAACCGACACAGGUGGUCGAGGAGAGAAUCCUAAGGUGCUCGAGUGAGUCGUGGCUAAGGAACUAGGCAAAAUAGUCUCGUAACUUCGGAAGAAGAGACGCCAUCAGCAAUGGUGGCCGCAGUGAAGAGGCCCAGGCGACUGUUUAUCAAAAACACAGGACUCUGCUAAAUCGAAAGAUGCUGUAUAGGGUCUGACACCUGCCCGGUGCUGGAAGGUUAAGGAAGGGCGUUAGGGUAACCGAAGCGUUUGACUGAAGUCCCAGUAAACGGCGGCCGUAACAAUAACGGUCCUAAGGUAGCGAAAUUCCUUGUCGGGUAAGUUCCGACCUGCACGAAUGG
rnacentral:rRNA from 1 species